GUAGACCAGGGACACCUGGAGCAAAGCCGGGGAGGCGCGGGACUCCGCCACCGCUGCGGCUUUGCUCCCGGUGUCCCUGGUCUGC
rnacentral:pre_miRNA from 1 species